UCAUGCUGUUAUGAUGUUACGGGGUAACAUGAAAACAUGUCAUACAAUCCAAUGGACGCCGACCUUGUUUGACUUUUGCUUUGGCGACCAAGCAUUCAACACAGUCAGAACUAUUUAAUUUAUUAAUCCUUUUAUUCCAACCAAUAAUUUGCAUCACCUUUUACCAAAAUUGAAGCAACUUUAACUUUUGACUCCUGUACAAA